AAUUCGGUCAUUUAUACCUAUAAUGUUAAGGAUACACGACUACCUUAUUUAUUCAAUUAUCUUUUAACUUUCAACUUGUAUGCAACGUACUUCAUUAUUAAUUGAAGAAAUUAAUAAUUAUUCCAUAAAACAUAUUUUCGAAUGUAUAAAUAUUUCGCCAACAAAUAUCGUAGACAUAAUAGUUAAAAUUUAAAUUCUUCAACAUAUUAUUAAAUUGUACAACGAGCCACUAUCCUUUUUCUAUGCCAUUUUUAUGACCUCGUGCCUAAGAAAAUAAUUGCUCGAUAACAACGUGCAUAGUUAUAAAAAUUGCAAAUUAUCGUUUUUCGCUAAACUGGCUUCAUAGACAAGCCUAGUCGCGUCUUCUCCCGUAAGACAAUAGAUUCAUGCAUAAGACACACAUUGGCUUUCACGAGAAGACUACCUCGUGGUUUAUGGCCGAAGCCACGGUAGCCUAUAUAACACAUGAGCCACCUUCACACUUCAUUCAUCACUUCUAACUCUUGCUACCACAAACAGCAAUGGACACCUUUCUUGAGUCCAACGUUCUCUUGUGCAUGGCUUAGGAUAUGGAAGCUGAUGACGACGAGCUCGAGUUAGCGACCAUCAGCUACCUCAGGCGUCGGCUUGAACGCAACCAGCGUCGACAUGGUGGUUCCGUUCCCGACUGAGUUGGAUCCCCGGAGACCAUUUUGGUGGUCACUCAAGGAUUGUAGCCGACUACUUCUCAUAUCAUCCAGCUUACAUUGAUGCCCAAUUCUGAAGGAGGUUUCGCAUGUGUCGCCAUGUGUUCGAGCGCCUUGUGGGUACAGUCCAACAGGUUGACCCAUACUUCGUGCAGCGUCCUAACUGCGUCGGAGGGAUGGGACUCUACACUGUGCAGAAGGUUGUUGGCGACAUCCGCAUCCUCGCCUAUGGUGUUCCUCCUAAUGUCGUGGAUGAGUACGUGCUCAUUGCAGAGUUCACUGCACAUGAGGCUCUUCAACGCUUCUGUAAGGCCAUCGUAACUGCAUUUGCUCUGUGCUACCUGCGCCCGCAUACACCCCAUGAUCUCACACGACUACUCCAAGUCUGUGAGUCACGUAGAUUUCUAGGAUACUUGGAAGCAUCAAUUGCAUGCAUUGGGAGUGAAAAAACUGCCCUACCACGUCCGUGUGGAAGGGUAUGUUCACAGGCCAAGGGAAGCACCCGACCAUGAUCCUAGAAGCGGAUGCAUCUUAUGACUUAUGGAUAUGGCACACAUACUUUGGCAUGCCCGAUAGCAGUAAUGACGUCAAUGUUUUGCAUCGCCCACACAUUCGAAAAGGCAUCUCAAUGUGGAGGAACCUUCAGUUGCUUUCACGGUCAACGGUAACCAAUACGACAUGGGGUAUUACCUUGCGGACGAUAUUUCGCUUAUUGGUUGGCUUUUGUGAAAACAGUCUGACGCCCUUCUGAGCCUCGCACAAAGCACUUUGCAACAAAGCAAGAGUUCGCUAGAAAGGAUAUAGAAAGAGCGUUUGAUGUGCUUCAGGCUAGGUGUGCAGUGAUAUGUGGUCCUGUGUACGGUUGGUCGACAACCAACAUUCACGACAUCAUGACGACAUGCAUCAUACUUCACAAUAUGAUAGUUGAGGACGAAAUUCCUAUGGUCGUGCAUGCUACCUUCGACAACACAACUGAAUUUGUAGAUCCAACUCACAGAUCUUUGGAAGAACGCAAUCGCUUCAUCCUCAAACAACACGAGAAGCUUAAGGAUCCACAGAAGUACCAGCAACUGCAGAGGGACCUGAUUGAGCAUCACUGGGCACGUAUCGGCGCCGACAUUUAGUAGAAGCUUGUGUCAUGUAAUGUUCUAUGAGAGUCUACCAAUAAGUGUAGCAUCCCAAAAAUUCAAAUCCUGAAAUUUUCUCAAACUUGCUCUAAAUUCAAAAUGAAUUUCAAA